GCAUCAGUGAGGUUUAUCCUUAUCUGGUGUCUUAGAACUAAGACUACAGUACAUGAUGAUUGGAUUCUAUGAAUACCUGAUUAUAUUCAGUAUUCUUAAAGUCUUUGCAACACCUUUAUGUCCCCUCUCUUAU